UACGGAGGGAGCUAGCGUUAUUCGGAAUUACUGGGCGUAAAGCGCACGUAGGCGGCUUUGUAAGUCAGAGGUGAAAGCCUGGAGCUCAACUCCAGAACUGCCUUUGAGACUGCAUCGCUUGAAUCCAGGAGAGGUGAGUGGAAUUCCGAGUGUAGAGGUGAAAUUCGUAGAUAUUCGGAAGAAACACCAGUGGCGAAGGCGGCUCACUAGACUGGUAUUGACGCUGAGGUGCGAAAGCGAGGG
rnacentral:rRNA from 1 species